UACGUAGGGUGCAAGCGUUAAUCGGAAUUACUGGGCGUAAAGCGUGCGCAGGCGGUUGUGCAAGACAGAUGUGAAAUCCCCCGGCUCAACCGGGGAACGGGCGCCGAAACGCCCCGUCUCGAGGGACGUAGGGGGACCUGGAACUUCCGGUGGAGCGGUGAAAUGCGUUGAGAUCGGAAGGAACGCCCGUGGCGAAAGCGAGGUCCUGGACGUCUACUGACGCUGAGACGCGAAAGCUAGGGGAGCAAACGGG
rnacentral:rRNA from 1 species